rnacentral:lncRNA from 1 species
AGUGACAAAAAUCACCAUUUCGUUACCUUGGUUAAUCGAUGACGCUCAUUCCAUGACGAACCAUUUUUCGUCACAAGUUCGUCAUAGAUGAACUUCUGUGACGAUUUUUGAGUCUUCGGUGACGAAAGUAUAGCAUCAUUGAUGAGCACUUCCCUAGUAGUGCAUUUUGUGCUUAUAUAUAUCUUUGCUUAGUUUGCUAAAUAAAUAAAUAAAGUGUCUGUGCCAAACUGAACUUCAAUGAUAAACUCUUACAUGGAUAUGAUGAAUAGUUGCUCUGCCAAGUAUCUAGUUUUCAAAUUUGAGCUCUCUCUCAAGUUUAGGCAUAACUGUUAUAAUUUAAAGCUUGCUCUAAACCUGAAUUUACGGGAAGAGUACCUAAUUAAAAGUCUAAGUCAUUAACAGAUAUGAUAUGGGAAGGUUGAGCUGCUGUUUAUCUGUUCCAAGAGAUGCUAGAAUUCUGGAGAAUUUUAUCUUUGAAAAUCUUUAAAAUGUUGCAUGAUGAGAGUUAUAUACAAGCUUAUUAGACUAUGAACCAUACAUUUACUUUUUACUGCUUAUGAGCAUUGAGUGUGGUCAAGCUGUGUAGACCCUUAGGAGCUUGUCAUGCGGUUAAAAUCAAGAUUCACUUGCACGUUCACUCAUACAUGCUGCUUCUACUCCAGAAGUACGCAUCCACAUACAUCCACACAUUUCCAUAUCCAGAUUCACCCAGAAUUAUUCUGCUCCUAUCUAGGAGAGAAUAGCCAAAAACAUUAUCUUAUCCCUGUUAUUCCCCGUAAAAUAAAUGCUCGAGAUAUUUUGGUUACUACCACUUUCUACAUUAUUCUAGGAGGGUGAGUGCUCUGGAAAAAAGUGAAUACGAGGAAAUAAAAAGGGGCAAGUGCCCGAAACCUCGAAAAAGAAGAAAAAAAAUGAAAAAGUGAGACGAGAGGUAAAACUGGACAAGUGUCCGACAGUAGAAUUAGGGGUACAAGAUACCCACCUGAGAGAAAACAAAAAUAAAAUAUAGAGCGUCUCAUUCCCCUCAAAAGCCUCAAGUGCAAGAAAGGUAUGUACCCCCUCAAAAGAGCAAAAGUAGAAUUAGACUUUCACCAUUAUUUUCACCAUUAUCACCAUUCAUUCGCCACACAUGCACAUCUUGAUUUGACUUAUUGACUUGUUCUUCUGGAUCCAUGGUUUGACUAUGCAAUAAGUGUCUUGUAAGUAUGUAUUAGCUGUCUCCCACCUAUGAGCUCCAGAUAUCAAAACCUUAUUAGAGUAAGGUGAGAGAGAAGGCAAUACCACUAUGCCUCAUACCAAAAAUACCACAUACUUUGAGAGAAGACAUACACCAUUACUGCCUUGGUAAGGAUCCAAAAAUACCACAAGAGAGAGACUAGAGAGAGUCAUACAAGGAAUCUCUGAGUUUUAUUUGAAAAUCUGCAAAAACUCCAGAGCUAUAGUUAAUCGAAGAACAAGAGACAUGGCGCUUGACUAGACCGUUCUAUCUUUUAACUGCUCGAGACAUAAGUGACGGUUACAAGCCCCAUGGUGGAAGGUAAAAUGAGUAAGUUUAAAUCUUAAUAGUUUACCCUAACCCAAAGAUGAGAUCUUGUUUGAACGCAUGUGUAUCUUUAAGGCAUGAAACCACUGCAGAAACUCUUGAGUCCAUCUUUGCUCAGGGACAAGCAAAGGUUAAGCUUGGGGGAGCUUGUUGACGGUCCUUAAUGCUCACAUUUACCCGUCAACUAAUCAUGAAAAAGGAUCCAAAUGCAACCGACACCAACACUUAGGGUUUUAUCUAACAGAUUUCCAC